rnacentral:rRNA from 1 species
AAUCAACGCUGGCGGCGUGCCUCAGACAUGCAAGUCGAACGCGAAAGUCCCCUUCGGGGGACAAGUAGAGUGGCGCACGGGUGAGUAACACGUAGGUAAUCUACCUUUGGAUGGGGAAUAACAACCGGAAACGGUUGCUAAUACCGCAUAAUGCAGCGGCACCUAAUGGUGACAGUUGUUAAAGCGGGGGAUCGAAAGACCUCGCGUCUGAAGAGGAGCCUGCGGCGGAUUAGCUAGNGGUAAGGUAAUGGCUUACCAAGGCUACGAUCCGUAACCGGCCUGAGAGGGCGGUCGGUCACACUGACACUGACAUACGGGUCAGACUCCUACGGGAGGCAGCAGUCGGGAAUUUUGGGCAAUGGGCGAAAGCCUGACCCAGCAACGCCGCGUGAAGGAUGAAAUCCCUCGGGAUGUAAACUUCGCAAGAACGGGAAG